UACAGAGGUGGCAAGCGUUUGUUCGGAAUUACUGGGCGUAAAGGGCGCGUAGGCGGCCUUCUAAGUCAGACGUGAAAUCCCCCCGGCUUAACCCGGGAACUGCGUCUGAUACUGGGAGGCUUGAGUAUGGGAGAGGGAUGUAGAAUUCCAGGUGUAGCGGUGAAAUGCGUAGAUAUCUGGAGGAACACCGGUGGCGAAGGCGGCAUCCUGGACCGGUAUUGACGCUGAGGCGCGAAAGCUAGGGGAGCAAACGGG
rnacentral:rRNA from 1 species